rnacentral:rRNA from 1 species
AUUGAACGCUGGCGGCAGGCCUAACACAUGCAAGUCGAGCGAGCGCCGGACGGUUGAGGAAGGUAUCGGUACUGUCCGAUAGAGGAGGAUAACUACUGGAAACGGUAUCUAAAACCGCAUACUAUAGGAUAACCCAUAGGGGAUUAGCGGGUGGGUGAGGUAAUGGCUCACCUGGGCGACGAUCUCUAGCCGGUGUGAGAGGAUGAUCGGCAACACUGGGACUGAGAAACGGCCCAGACUCCUACGGAGGCAGCAGUGGGAAAUAUUGCACAAUGGGCGCAAGGCUGAUGCAGCCAUGCCGCGGGUAUGAAGAAGGCCCUAGGGUUGUAAAGUACUUUCAGUCGGGAGGCGUUGCCGACAGAAGAAGCACCGGCUAACUCCGUGCCAGCAGCCACGGUAAUUC